UACGUAGGGUGCAAGCGUUGUCCGGAAUUAUUGGGCGUAAAGAGCUCGUAGGCGGUUUGUCGCGUCUGCCGUGAAAGUCCGGGGCUCAACUCCGGAUCUGCGGUGGGUACGGGCAGACUAGAGUGAUGUAGGGGGAGACUGGAAUUCCUGGUGUAGCGGUGAAAUGCGCAGAUAUCAGGAGGAACACCGAUGGCGAAGGCAGAUCUCUGGGCCGUAACUGACGCUGAGGAGCGAAAGCAUGGGGAGCGAACAGG
rnacentral:rRNA from 1 species